UCGCAUCGAUGAAGAACGUAGCGAAAUGCGAUACCUGGUGUGAAUUGCAGAAUCCCGCGAACCAUCGAGUCUUUGAACGCAAAUUGCGCCCGAGGCCAUUCGGCCGAGGGCACGCCUGCUUGGGCGUCACGC
rnacentral:rRNA from 2 species